GCCCAGGGCAUCAUGUAUGCAGAUGACUAUGCCACCACUUGGAAGACCCCCUGGAGUGGGGAGACCCUCACUCAAGUCUCAGGAUGACGUGACCCCCCCCAAGAACUCACACAAGACC
rnacentral:pre_miRNA from 14 species